UGACCACCUCCUACAAACUCGCCCCUCCCCUCCUCGCCGGCUUGGAGCUGUAGGCCCGCAGUGCUCUGUCUGGCCAGGGCCAGGCGACCGACUCCCGAGACUCCUGGCUCGGGGAGUUGCCAACAAGCCCAAUUCGCUGGGGGUGAGGGAGCCCUCUAGCAUUAGGAUCGUUUUAGGGGACGGAGAGAGAGGUAUCCGGGGAGCUCCCCAGGGCAGGACAGGAAAGGGGAAGAGGUGGGGACCCCAGAGCAAGAGCUGCUGUGGGCUCCCUGCCCCCCAUUACGGGGAGGCAGUUAAACUACCUGGCCAGGCCAUCUGCCCGGAGGCAGCUUCUCCGGCUCCAGCCCCGUCCUGCCCCAGAAGGAUCUCCAUGCCACUUGGACACAGGGGAUUCAGGAGGAAACAGAACAAAGGUCCUAUCCUCAGGAAACUUAUAUCACUCUGGUGGGGCAGACCGACAACAAAGAAAUACACCAUGUCAAAAUAUGUCAGGUGAUGGCUGUCCUCCACCUAGCAGCCAGUGCAAGCUUUUAAAAAUGCGAAUCAUUUCUAGCCUGAAAACCUUCUGGUGGCCUCCCGCCGCAUCUGGAAUAAAUCCAAACUUCCGACUAUGGCCUGCCUCCAUUCCAAUCUUUGAAACUUUGUGGCCUCGUCUCCCAGUCCUCUGGCACCCUCUGCCUCAGCCACAUAGGCCAGAGCCUUUGCACUUGACCUGCCUUCUCCUGGACCCCUUUGCAGUGGGGUGCUGUCUUGGCUCCAGAUUUCAGCUCGACAUGGUGACAUUAUCGGUGGCACCUUCCCUGACUUCUCCAUUUAAAUCGGUACCUCCAGGGGUUCCUGGCUGGCUCAGCUGGAAGAGCAUUCGACUCUUGAUCUCAGGAUUGUGAGUUUGAGCUCCACAUUGGGUGUGGAGGUUACUUAAAUUAACAAAGAAAUAAGCUUAAAACAAAUGGCAUCUUCAGUCUCUCUCUGGCCCAUCUCUCUGACUUCUUUUCUCCCGGCACUAACAGAGCCCGAGAGUCAGUUCUGCACAGAGGUAAGUGGGAGCAGCCCCCUGCAGUAGGAAGGACGCUGGAUCGGAUGGGGCGGGGCCUCCAGACCACGUGCACAUCCGACAAGGUCUCUGCCAGCCCUUGAGGCACCCAGAGCAAAGCCUGCCCAUUGGAGGAGUCCUGAAUUGGGUGCAAAAGGUUAGAUCCUGUACCACCUCUGGGCUUGGUCAAGGGCUGGAACCAUCAGCUCAGAAGCUGGGGUUCAAGAGCAUGAGAAGGCAAGCCAUAGAUGGGGAGAAUAUUUUUGCAAAAGCCAGAUCUAAGUGAGAACCGUUAUCUAGAAUGUACAAAGAGCUCGGCAAUGAGAAAACAAACAACCCAAUUUUUAAAAUGGGCCAAACACCUGAACAGACAUCUCACCAAAGAAGACAUACAGAUGGCAAAUAAGCAUAUGAAAAGAUGCUCCGCAUCCAAUGUCAUUUGGGAAUUGCAAAUUAAAACAACGCUGAGCUGCUACCGUUAGAAAGGCCACAUUCUGGAACACCGAUGACACCAAAUGCUGGUGAGGAUGUGGAACAUCAAGAACUCUUACUCAGGGCGCCUGGCUGGCUCAGUCAAUAGAACGGGUGACUCUUGAUCUGGAGGUCAUGAGUUCGAGCCCCACGUGGGGUGUAAAGCUUACAUUAAAAAAGUUAAAAACAGAAAGACCUCUCGCUCAUAUCCAAUGGGAGUGCAACAUGGUACAGAUACUCUGGAAGACAGUUCGGCGGUUUCUUACAAAGGUAAACAUAGUCUUCCUAUACAAUCCAACCCUCAUGCUCCUCGGUAUUACCCAAAGGAGCUGAGGCUUAUGUCCACACAAACACCUGUAUACAGAUGUUUAUAGAAGCUUUAUUCAUAAUUGCCCAAACUUGAAAGGAGCCAAGCUGUCCUUCGGUAGGUGAAUGGAUAAGGAAACCGUGGUAAAUCCAGGAAUGGAAUAUUACUCUGCACUAAAAAGAAAUGAGCUAUCAAACCUUGAAAAGACAUGGGGAAAACUUCAGUGCAAUUACUAACUGAAAGAAGCCAAUUGGAAAAGGCUACAUACAUUCGAACUGUAGGGCUUUCUGGAAAAGGCGAAACUAUGGAGACGGUAAAAAGAUCAAUGGUUGGGGCGUCUGGGUGGCUCAGUCGUUAAGCUGACUCUGGAUUUCGGCUCAGGUCUUGAUCUCAUGGGUUCGCGAGUUUGAGCCCCGCAUCGGGCUCUGUGCUGUCCGUGCAGAGCCUGCUUGGGAUUCUCUCUCUGCCCUUCCCCUGCUCGUGCUUGCUCUCUCUCUUUCAAAAUAAAUAAAUAAACCUUAAAAAAAAAAAAGGUCAGUGGUAGCCAGGAGUUAGGUGGGAGGGAGGGAUGCAUAGGUGAGCACAGAGGAUUUCUAGGGCAGUGACACCAUGAGGUAUGAUACCAUAUUGGUUGAUAUAUAUUGUUCCGUAUUUAUCAAAACCCGUAGAAUGUACAGCACUAAGAGUGAACCUUAACGUAAACUAUGUAGUUGGAUGAUAAUGAUGUGUCAACAUAGGUUCAUUGAUUAUAACAAAUGUACCACUCUAGUGGGGAUGUUGAUGGCCGGGGAGGACUGUGUGUGAGAGGGGGCAGGGAUAUGUAGGAAUUCUGGACUUUCUGCUCAAUUUUGCUGUGAACUCAAAAAUGCUCUAAAAAAUAAAGUCUAUUUAAAAAGGAAGGAAGGAAGGAAAGUAGGAAGGAGGGAGUGAGGAAGGAAGGAAGGAAGGAAGCAAGGGAAGGGAAGGGAGGGAAGGAAGGAAGGAAGGAAGGAAGGAAGGAAGGAAGGAAGAAGGAAGGAAAGAAGGAAGGAAUAGAAUAGAGAAAAAAGAACAGACCAGACCAGAACAGAAAUCCUCAGACAUUCUCUCCAGGCUUCCUUCUUCUCUUGGGCCAUCUGUCUCCUUUCCUUCUGCUGUCCAAGCGUUUUCUGACCUCCUCACGGGGGGAUGUGUUUGCUGGGCAUGUCUGUCUGCCUGUCCUUUUCUUUUAUGGUUUGGCCGGAUCCUUUGUUAAAGGUUUUCCAGCUCAGGGGCGGGGCUGGCUGGGAGCUUCUUCAUCUCUGCAGUUCCUGUCAUCCCUCCCAGCACCCCCAACAGCUUUCUCCCAGCCCACUGACCUUUCACCAACAAAUGACAGCUAUGAUCUGCUCCGUGAGCCCUGUCCCAGGAUAAACGUGUACCCGGACACCCAGCCGAGGAGAAGGUUUUCAAGAGUGGCGAGAGAAGAAAAUCCUGGAUGCCUGGAUGACUCAUUAGCACCACCUCCAACCCAGCUUAAGCUCACCUCCUUUGGUGUCUGACAGAAGAAAGAGGAAAACGCCUUCCUUCUCUGUCCUUUGGGGACAGAUUUGGGGGGAUCCCACAGACUGUGCGCCCCACUUUCAUUUUCCAGGCCUUGAUGGAGACUUCUAAAGGCACCAGCCCCCAAAACAAUCGGGCCAUGAGCAGUACAAAACAAAAUCAACACUAAGCCAACAAAAUGAGGACUUGGAGGCACCAGGAGGUUGUCUGACUUGCCCAGUGUAAGAUCUGGAAUUUGAACUUCUUGAGUUCAGGUUCAUAACCACUGCACUCCACUACCUGAAAUUCCAUUCUUGGCUAUCUGUCCUUUUCUGGAAUGCCAACAUCAUGGAGGAAAGCCUUGGAACACCAGCAACGCAGUGUGAAGGCAGACAGGCCCAGCGUGGAUGCGUUCAGUCCCUACUGGAACCUGCUGAGUCUGAAUCUUGAGUAAAAGCUGGGGAAGAAUG